GGGAGCCGCGGAGGUUGGUAUCUCCCCAUUAAAAGAACAUCUCUCAGACUCAGACGUUAUCCGACCACGUUGGCUGCGAGUUCUAUGAUCCGCCAUACACAGUGGGAAAGGAGAGGAAUCAGAACCUUAUUGUAAUUUGUAGGCCGGAGAGAGUGGAGCUGAUAUGUAGAGCAGAUGUUUAGAUUGUAGGUCGUUUGUUGUCUUUAUUCUACUUUCAUAGUUUAGGGAAUUUGAGAGAAAGGUAAACUCAACAGUGAUAAAACUGAGAAAAAAAACCCCUCGUUUAUCAUUUAUUCUGAGGAACAAAUGAGCUCUUGUGUCGACAAAUUAAGGAUUAUUUGCAAUGGCAGUGGACUCUGGAGGCAGUGAUUUUUCGGUGGAGAAGAUGAAUUGGAAGAGGCUGAGGUUUGUAUGUUCCACACCGUGCUCUGUUAUCUGUAAUGACAAUGUGUUUAAUUCUAGACAAAUCUGAGUUAUUUGCCAUGUGAUUUUGGUAGAUGUAUAAUUUUUAUAGGGUAAAAAUACAUUUUGUGGUUAAGCAAAAUUCUGUAUGUUUGAGUUUCUGUGCAUAAUAAAACAAAAUGGAUGUC